rnacentral:sRNA from 1 species
UUCUAGCCCCGAUAGUAGUGGAAAUCCUUUUUAUCAGCCUUUUCGGCGGAUAAAAAGAUUUUAACGAAUAGCGGGAAAUAGC